rnacentral:lncRNA from 1 species
AGGUGAUAGCGGAGCGGCUGGGUAGGAAGCAAUUGUUCUCAAACUUCACUAGCCCCGUCGGCGCGGACGCUUGUCGAGAAUGCAGAUUCCUGGGUACUGCCAGAUACGGUUGGUGAUCUUGUAGGGCUGGAGUGGAAGCCAUGAAUCUGCAUUUUCAUCAUUUCUGGCCCUCUGCCCGGACUGAGAAUUGAGCAUACCACAAAAAAGUUCUCAUUUUGUGUCCUCCCAUCCCAUUCUCCUCACUAACCAAAGCCUCCCACUGGUCUCACUAUUGACAAUACCCAAGGCAAGGCACAGAGGAAAGGAGCCAUUGAUAUAUCCAAUCUCUCACCGACCGAGCUGGAAGAAGAGUAGAGAGUGGCCAACCUCCCAGCUACCAAGCUCAAAGAAGAGGAGAGAGUAGAUUUGGAGGUCAAGCUGAGGAUAUCUGGCAAAUGAGCCAAUUUAGGCCAAUUGAGAGUUAGUUCUGGGACUUUUAAUGGAACAAUCGGCCAAUAAGUUCUUCUUUCUGCUGAAAUUUCUGUGAAAUAGGCCUGGUGGCCAUCUCAUCACCACCCUGAAAAGAGGGCCAAAAGAUGGGGACAAAUUCCUGUUGAUAUCAUUUAAGCACGAACCCAGUUACACUUGAGGACUACCCCUAGAAUUUUCAACUAGGGGCCAAUAAAUCCUACCUCUGCAUUAGCUAGUCG